GACGAGGUGGCCGAGCGGUUAAGGCGAUGGACUGCUAAUCCAUUGGGGUUUCCCC
rfam:Trichuris suis C393765.1, whole genome shotgun sequence.